rnacentral:rRNA from 1 species
CUGACGUUAGCGGCGGACGGGUGAGUAACACGUGGGUAACCUACCUAUAAGACUGGGAUAACUCCGGGAAACCGGGGCUAAUACCGGAUAAUACAUGAAACCGCAUGGUUUCAUGAUGAAAGACGGUUUUGCUGUCACUUAUAGAUGGACCCGCGGCGUAUUAGCUAGUUGGUAAGGUAACGGCUUACCAAGGCAACGAUACGUAGCCGACCUGAGAGGGUGAUCGGCCACACUGGAACUGAGACACGGUCCGGACUCCUACGGGAGGCAGCAGUC